ACACGUCUGCUUCAUUUACUUUUUGGUUGAGUGUGUAUGACCGCUGAUUGUUGUUCCUCAAAUCAGCGUGUUUGUCAAACGGUUGCACAAUCUACAGCUUUUAGCACUUUAUGAGACCAGCUGUCUAUCGUGUUAAUCUCUGUACAUAUACAUAUACAUACAUAUACAUACAUAUAUAUAUAUAUAUAUACCAUCCAGCAUGAUGAAGGGCUUUAGCGCCACUCAGCUCUCCACGUUUCACCUUUUUAAACAGGAAUGAGGAAUUUAAAUUACUAUAAUUUGACGUCUUAAUCAAUAAAUAAUAAUGAGCUUUACUAUUUUUUUUCUAUUUCUUUGUAGAACAGUAAAGUAGAAGAUUCCUGGAUAACAAUAAUAAGAAUAUUUUAGCAUUAAAAGCAUCAUUCUGUGUAUUAACCAUUAGAGAGACAUGAGAGAUGAUUAAUUUAGGGCAUAAACCUGACGCUGGGUGGAGGUUGUUUAAUUAUAUCCAUUCAUGAAGCUAUAGUAAAAAAAA